AGAGUUUGAUCCUGGCUCAGGAUGAACGCUGGCGGCGUGCUUAACACAUGCAAGUCGAACGAAGCACUUUAUUUGAUUUCCUUCGGGACUGAUUAUUUUGUGACUGAGUGGCGGACGGGUGAGUAACGCGUGGGUAACCUGCCUUGUACAGGGGGAUAACAGUUGGAAACGGCUGCUAAUACCGCAUAAGCGCACGGCAUCGCAUGAUGCAGUGUGAAAAACUCCGGUGGUAUAAGAUGGACCCGCGUUGGAUUAGCUAGUUGGUGGGGUAACGGCCCACCAAGGCGACGAUCCAUAGCCGACCUGAGAGGGUGACCGGCCACAUUGGGACUGAGACACGGCCCAAACUCCUACGGGAGGCAGCAGUGGGGAAUAUUGCACAAUGGGCGAAAGCCUGAUGCAGCGACGCCGCGUGAGCGAAGAAGUAUUUCGGUAUGUAAAGCUCUAUCAGCAGGGAAGAUAAUGACGGUACCUGACUAAGAAGCACCGGCUAAAUACGUGCCAGCAGCCGCGGUAAUACGUAUGGUGCAAGCGUUAUCCGGAUUUACUGGGUGUAAAGGGAGCGCAGGCGGUGCGGCAAGUCUGAUGUGAAAGCCCGGGGCUCAACCCCGGUACUGCAUUGGAAACUGUCGUACUAGAGUGUCGGAGGGGUAAGCGGAAUUCCUAGUGUAGCGGUGAAAUGCGUAGAUAUUAGGAGGAACACCAGUGGCGAAGGCGGCUUACUGGACGAUAACUGACGCUGAGGCUCGAAAGCGUGGGGAGCAAACAGGAUUAGAUACCCUGGUAGUCCACGCCGUAAAC
rnacentral:rRNA from 1 species